GACGAACCGUGCGAACGUUGUUCGGAAUCACUGGGCUUAAAGGGCGCGUAGGCGGGUUUGCAAGUCUGCGGUGAAAGCCCCCAGCUUAACUGGGGAAGUGCCGUGGAUACUGCGGACCUUGAGGAGGGUAGGGGCAUCUGGAACAUUGGGUGGAGCGGUGAAAUGCGUUGAUAUCCAAUGGAACUCCGGUGGCGAAGGCGAGGUGCUGGACCCUUUCUGACGCUGAGGCGCGAAAGCCAGGGGAGCAAACGGG
rnacentral:rRNA from 1 species